rnacentral:rRNA from 1 species
AUUGAACGCUGGCGGAAUGCUUUACACAUGCAAGUCGAACGGCAGCACGGGGGCAACCCUGGUGGCGAGUGGCGAACGGGUGAGUAAUACAUCGGAACGUGCCCAGUCGUGGGGGAUAACGUAGCGAAAGUUACGCUAAUACCGCAUACGAUCUACGGAUGAAAGCGGGGGACCGUAAGGCCUCGCGCGAUUGGAGCGGCCGAUGUCAGAUUAGGUAGUUGGUGAGGUAAAGGCUCACCAAGCCGACGAGCUGUAGUUGGUCUGAGAGGACGACCAGCCACACUGGGACUGAGAAACGGCCCAGACUCCUACGGGAGGCAGCAGUGGGGAAUUUUGGACAAUGGGCGCAAGCCUGAUCCAGCCAUUCCGCGUGCAGGACGAAGGCGUUCGGGUUGUAAACUGCUUUUGUACGGAACGAAAAGGCUCUGGUUAAUACCUGGGGCUCAUGACGGUACCGUAAGAAUAAGCACCGGCUAACUACGUGCCAGCCGCCGCCGUAA